AACGAACGCUGGCGGCAUGCCUAACACAUGCAAGUCGAACGAGAUCUUCGGGUCUAGUGGCGCACGGGUGCGUAACGCGUGGGAAUCUGCCCUUUGGUUCGGAAUAACAGUUGGAAACGACUGCCAAUACCGGAUGAUGACGAAAGUCCAAAGAUUUAUCGCCAGAGGAUGAGCCCGCGUAGGAUUAGCUAGUUAGUGCGGUAAAGGCGCACCAAGGCGAAGAUCCUUAGCUGGUCUGAGAGGAUGAUCAGCCACACUGGGACUGAGACACGGCCCAGACUCCUACGGGAGGCAGCAGUGGGGAAUAUUGGACAAUGGGCGAAAGCCUGAUCCAGCAAUGCCGCGUGAGUGAUGAAGGCCUUAGGGUUGUAAAGCUCUUUUACCCGGGAUGAUAAUGACAGUACCGGGAGAAUAAGCUCCGGCUAACUCCGUGCCAGCCGCCGCCGUAA
rnacentral:rRNA from 1 species